rfam:Schistosoma rodhaini strain Burundi genome assembly, scaffold: SROB_scaffold0003602
AUCCGUAUGACGAGUCCCAGAUAGGACGAAACGCGCAUCCUGGAU